rnacentral:rRNA from 1 species
CUAGUUGGUGGGGUAAUGGCCUACCAAGGCGACAAUCCGUAGCUGGUCUGAGAGGGCGACCAGCCACACCGGAACUGAGACACGGUCCGGACUCCUACGGGAGGCAGCAGUGGGGAAUAUUGGACAAUGGGGGAAACCCUGAUCCAGCGACGCCGCGUGUGUGAAGAAGGCCUGCGGGUUGUAAAGCACUUUUAGUGGGGACAAAAAGCUACGGACUAAUAAUCUGUGGUCUUGAUUUAACCCAAAGAAAAAGCACCGGCUAACUCUGUGCCAGCAGCCGCGGUAAUACAGAGGGUGCGAGCGUUAAUCGGAAUUACUGGGCGUAAAGCGCGCGUAGACGGUUUUGUAAGUCAGAUGUGAAAUCCCUGGGCUCAACCUGGGAACUGCAUUUGAAACUGCAUGGCUAGAGUAUGGAAGAGGGAAGUGGAAUUUCCGGUGUAGCGGUGAAAUGCGUAGAUAUAUGGAUGAACAUCAAUAACGGCGAAGGCAGUUAACUAUUCUGUUACUGACAUUGAGGCACGAAAGCGUGGGGAGCAAAAAGGAUUAGAUACCCUUGUAGUCCACGCCCUAAACGAUGAGUACUAGGUAUUGGGCAGUAUUGUUCAGUGCCGCUAGUUAACACGGUAAGUACUCCGCCUGGGUAGUACGCUCGCAAGAGUGAAACUCAAAGGAAUUGACG